GUUAGAGGAGACAGGUAGUCUAGUGGUUAGAGGAGACAGGUAGUCUAGUGGUUAGAGGGGGCAGGUAGUCUAGUGGUUAGAGGAGACAGGUAGUCUAGUAGUUAGAGGAGACAGGUAGCCUAGUGGUUAGAGGAGACAGGUAGUCUAGUGGUUAGAGGAGACAGGUAGUCUAGUGGUUAGAGGAGACAGGUAGCCUAGUGGUUAGAGGAGGCAGGUAGUCUAGUGGUUAGAGGAGACAGGUAGUCUAGUGGUUAGAGGAGACAGGUAGCCUAGUGGUUAGAGGAGGCAGGUAGUCUAGUGGUUAGAGGAGACAGGUAGUCUAGUGGUUAGAGGAGGCAGGUAGUCUAGUGGUUAGAGGAGACAGGUAGUCUAGUGGUUAGAGGAGACAGGUAGUCUAGUGGUUAGAGGAGGCAGGUAGUCUAGUGGUUAGAGGAGGCAUGUAGUCUAGUGGUUAGAGGAGGCAGGUAGUCAGGUAGUCUAGUGGUUAGAGGAGGCAGGUAGUCAGGUAGUCUAGUGGUUAGAGGAGGCAGGUAGCGUUUUUUCUAAACAUUAGGAGACGAAAAUAACACUUUUUGACAUAUGCAGACAGACCACAACUUGCUUUUUUAAAAAUCGGCAUGCUAUUCUAGAUUUAACUGGAAAAACUUGGGGCUUUAAAGUGUCAAAACCAAAUGUAGUAAUACACUUAGUUGAGAUAGAGCAGAGGAAAAAUAUGCAUCGUACGUUCAAAUCAUUUUAUAAGCAGCGAAAAGCCCAACUGCCAAUUCAUCUGCGAGUGGUUUCAUCGCACAUGAAACAAAAUCAAAACACAGGACAGAUGUUGGAGGAGAAACCACAUUUAAAGCUUUUGUCACAAACUGCCAUUUUUCAAAUGAUUGGGGCACAUCUAUUAAAGAAAGUGGAUUGUAACGAUUGGGCGAAAGCAUAAGGAAAUAUUUAACCAGCCAAUUAUAGCCAAUUAACUUUGAUCACAAUGACUGCGUUUGGAAUGUCUCAGUCACUCUACUCCUUCGGUUGUCAGAGGGAGUACAAACAAUUUCUCUCUCUCUCC